rnacentral:rRNA from 1 species
GACGAACGCUGGCGGCGUGCUUAACACAUGCAAGUCGAACGGAAAGGCCCUGCUUUUGUGGGGUUCUCGAGUGGCGAACGGGUGAGUAACACGUGAGUAACCUGCCCUUGACUUUGGGAUAACUUCAGGAAACUGGGGCUAAUACCGGAUAGGAGCUCCUGCUGCAUGGUGGGGGUUGGAAAGUUUCGGCGGUUGGGGAUGGACUAGCGGGUUAUCCGCUUGUUUGUGAGGUAGUGGCUUACCAAGGCUUUGACGGGUAGCCGGCAUGGGAGGGUGAACGGCCACAAUGGGACUGAGGUACGGCCCAGAAUCCUACGGGAGGCAGCAGUGGAGAAUCUGACACAAUGGGGGGAAGCCUGAUGCAGCAACGCCGCGUGCGGGAUGACGGCCUUCGGGUUGUAAACAGCUUUCGAAUGUGACGAAGCGGGAGUGACGGUAAUGGGUAAAGAAGCACCGGCUAACUACGUG